rnacentral:tRNA from 1 species
GGGAGUAUAGGCUAACCUGGCAGACUGGCGGGCUCCAGUUAUCGAGCGUGAUUGAAAAGAGCUUGCUGACAGUUGAUGAAUAACUGGAGCGAUGACUCAUAAUUUCGCGGAGGGUAGCUCCCUCCGUGGUGGAAACCCGCUGACGGGGGUUCAAAUCCCUCUACUCCCA